UACGGGGGGAGCAAGCGUUGUUCGGAUUUACUGGGCGUAAAGGGCGCGUAGGCGGCCAGCGCAAGUCAGUUGUGAAAUCUCCGGGCUUAACUCAGAAAGGUCAACUGAUACUGCGCGGCUAGAGUGCGGAAGGGGCAACUGGAAUUCUCGGUGUAGCGGUGAAAUGCGCAGAUAUCAGGAAGAACACCCGUGGCGAAGGCGGCUCUCUGGGACGGUACUGACGCUGAGACGCGAAAGCGUGGGGAGCGAACAGG
rnacentral:rRNA from 1 species